rnacentral:rRNA from 1 species
GAGACCCCUGCUUCUAGUUGCUACUUCUAUUCUUCGGAGUAGAGGGGCUAAUUAGAAGGACUGCCGCCGCUAAGGCGGAGGAAGGAGGGGGCUACGGCAGGUCAGUAUGCCCCGAAACCCUCGGGCCACACGCGGGCUGCAAUGGUAAGUACAAUAGGUCCCGAUUCCGAAAGGAGGAGGCAAUCCCGUAAAACUUACCACAGUUAUGAUUGAGGGCUGAAACUCGUCCUCAUGAAUAUGGAAUCCCUAGUAAUCGCGUGUCAUCAUCGCGCGGUGAAUAC